rnacentral:misc_RNA from 1 species
AUUUAUUUAGCAAUGUUUCGCACAUCCCAUUAGAUGCUACGAACACGUCAUUUGUUAAGGAAUAUCUGUGCAUUAUACUUCGUCGUUAAUUGCGUAAUCCGUAGUUUCGAUAUCGGAUGCUUCAUGGGCUGAACGUUAUUUACAAUUACAUACCUCUCACCCGGUGAAAUGUCAAAGUUCAAUGUGGGGUGAUAAUGAUAGCGAUAUUAUUUGGUACGAAAAUACGGAAUAUAUCAGUCUGUUGGGUAACUCACCUUCGAACUACCCAGAGCACAGGACCGUCUUUAUCAGUCCCAAGAACGAUCCAAACACUUCGGAAUUUCCGCACAAUCGCAUAACAACUAACAAGUACACGCUAUGGAAUUUUCUACCGAAGAAUUUAUUCGAGCAGUUUCGUCGGGUGGCAAAUUUCUAUUUUCUGAUAACAGCCAUCAUCGCGUUCACGAUAGAAUCGCCGAUAUCUCCCUUAACGAGUACUCCAGCACUAGUCUUCGUCAUUGUUGUGACCGCCGGAAAACAGGGGUACGAAGAUUGGCUCCGGCAUCGAUCGGAUGUCAGAGUAAAUCGCGCCCUUGUUACGGUUAUUCGGAACACAUCGACCCAGAGUAUCCAUUGCGAGAAGCUCGUAGUUGGUGACCUUGUAAAGGUCAAUUGCAACGACGAAGUACCUUGUGACCUUGUUCUUCUCUGCAGCAGCGAUCCGACCGGCUGCUGUUACGUUACAACUUCAAAUCUUGACGGAGAAACAAAUCUCAAGACCCUCCAGGUGCCUCGUGUUGUAUCGUCCUUGCCAGUUUCUAAAAUAGUUUCAAUGGAGGCAACAGUGACUUGCGAGCACCCGUUAGCGGAUCUUUAUCGUUUCCACGGUAAAUUGGAGGUAAAAAAUGGGACGGAAACGACCUCGGGAUUUCUGACAAUUGAAAAUAUACUUUUACGAGGAGCUAGGAUAAAGGACACCGCUCACGUUAUCGGAUGUGCGGUAUACACGGGACAAGAUACUAAAUUAUCAUUAAACUCCAAAGUGACGAUCAAUAAAUUUUCGACCGCUGAAAGGUCAAUCAAUACGUACCUCAUCAUUUUCAUAAUCGUUUUAGUGAUCGUCGUUGUACUUUCCACCGUUAUGAAAUCUGUCAUAGAACUAAACUCGAGUUGGAGUGGAUAUUUAGGCGAAGCGGAUGCCAUAACGGUGCAAUCCCUCGUUAUCAAUGUUCUAUCCUUCGUAGUUCUCUAUAAUUACAUAGUACCGAUAUCCUUAUACGUUACUGCCGAGAUGCAAAAAUUUGUCAGCUCUUUAUUUUUCGCCUGGGACAACGACAUGUACGACAAGGAAUCCGAUCAGUCGGCCUUAGCGAAUACUUCGGACCUCAACGAAGAACUUGGCCAGGUCGAGUAUUUAUUCUCUGACAAAACCGGUACACUUACGGAAAAUCUGAUGGUGUUCAGGCGUUGUUCUAUAGACGGGAAUGCCUACAUGGAAAAAGAUUGCGACGGCAAUCUCUACCUUCUACCUCCGAGUGGGAACGAGAAGGAGGCCGUGAAACUCACCGCCUGGCAGCCGGUGAUUUGGCACUUUAUGAUUGGAAUUUCUUUAUGCAACGUCGUCCACAUAGCACCGCCCAGCCAACGAGCAAGUAUCGUCGCCCGGAGGUCAUUUUUUCGGAAAAGUUUUCGAGAGAAAAAAACUUCGGUGAUCAACAGUUCGCUGCUGAUGCAUCCGGAUUUACCGGAAUAUCAAGCUGCGUCGGCCGAUGAAAAAGCUCUGGUCGAAGCCAGCGCGAGAUGCGGUGUUGUUUUUCAUAAGAAUAGCGGAGAUGUAGUGGAAAUUCGAAUAAAGAAUGAUACCCUCAAGUUCAAAAAACUCGAUACUUUCGAAUUCACCUCCGAAAGGAAAAGGAUGUCCGUCAUAGUCCAGGACGCUGCAGGAGACAUCUGGCUGUACUGCAAGGGCGCAGAUUCUUCGGUUUGCCCUUUAAUCGAUAACGGAAAAUUGGCCGAAACUUACGAGCACCUCACAGAUUUCUCAAUGCGAGGCCUACGCACCUUAGUUAUCGCUUACAAAAAGUUGAAAAAAUCCGAUUACGAACGUUUAAUGAUAAGCGUCGAACGAGCCCGUGAAAUAAUUGGUUCCGAACGCGUGGCUCAUGUGGAGAGAUGCUACAGGUCGAUAGAAAAUGGACUCACAUUGUUAGGGGUCAGCGCGGUCGAAGACCGUCUUCAAGAGGGUGUACAAGAGACCUUGGAGAGUCUGAGAGCCGCGGGCAUAAAAGUCUGGGUGCUGACCGGUGACAAAGGGGAGACCGCCGAAAACAUCGCUUAUUUAUGCGGACACUUUAAAAAGGGAAGCGAAAUCUUACGACUCAUGGGUCACAUGUAUUCCGAAAGCUGUUUUGUUGCCCUGACGAGUUUUCAACGGAUGAUAAAACUCGAACCGUUCAAACAGUUCGGCAUAAUAAUCGACGGUGUUAGUAUGGAAAUCGCUUGCAGAGAAUACCCAAGUUUGUUGCGGACGGUAACAAUGGCUUGCGAAUCUGUAGUCUGCUGCAGGUUGUCACCUCUUCAAAAAUGCGAGAUGGUACAGAUAGUGAAACAGUCCGAAGAAAGACCCAUAACUGCCGCAAUUGGUGACGGUGGUAACGACGUUUCAAUGAUUCAGGAAGCUCACGUGGGAAUCGGAAUUAUGGGGAAAGAAGGACGACAGGCUACAAUGAGCGCAGACUUUGCCUUCGCCAAAUUUAGAUUCCUAAGGAAAGCUCUCCUAGUACACGGACACUGGUAUUACGUACGGAUCAGCGUACUUAUUCAGUAUUUUUUCUACAAAAAUUUACUACUCGUUGCACCUCAAUUGUAUUUCGCAAUUCAUAGCGGGUUCGCGGCUCAGCUUCUCUUCGACAGCGUAUUUUUGAUGUGUUACAACGUUUUUUUUACCUCUAUACCGAUAUUAAUUUACGGUUUAUUAGAGCAGGACUACAGUGCUCACGUUUUGCUCAAAUACCCCCAGUUGUAUAGACUGUAUAAAAAAAAUUAUUUGCUCUCAAGUAAACAGUUCAUUAUAUGGACAAUUAGCGGAAUCUGGCAUGCUAGCGUAGCGUAUUUUGUACCCUACUUUUGCUUGUACAUAAAUCCCGUCAUUUUGCACGACAAUACACCAGCGGAUCACUGGAGCUACAGCACAUUGAUUCACUACAUAAUCGUUAUAGUGUGCAAUAUUAAGCUUCUGCUGUGCAGCGCCUAUUGGACAUUACCAUUCGUACUAACUGUGACGCUUUCUAUAUCGAGUUUUAUCUUAAUCGCAUUGAUAUACUCUACGAUAACGACCCGCUUUGACGGUGAUAUGAUAUGGGUCAUGCACAGUUUACUAGCAUCAUUGACAUUUUGGUUACUAACAACAUUUUCAAUAAUAAUGUGCCUUUUACCCGAUUGCCUUGUUGCUCUGUACAACCGAUAUCGACCGCACAGAGUUGGAAGAAAAACUAUUUCACGGACUGAUCGCACCGCGGCUAAUAAUUUAUCAGAUAAUAAUUCAAACAACGAACAUGCAACCGCCAACUCGGUAUUGGGAAGAUUACUGAUCAACUUCUCAUUGCGGAGAGCGAAUCUUUUCUCUAGUGAGAAAUUAUGAUCAGAUAGACCUAAUUCAAUGGCUUUUUUUUUCUUAUUUUUCUUUUUGACUCAGCCGUCUUCACGUAAUUUUUGCGGUAAGCUCUUUAUAUUUCUUGUGAAAUUUUUACUUCGAAUCUGUUCACCCCGAUAAAUCUUUCUCCGAACUCUCUAUCAACCACUCGAAUGAAAUAACAUUAGAAAUAUUAAUAAAAGUCAUCGUGUUUUCUGAGUUUCUCCUUGUUUUUGUUUAUUUUCAUCCAACUGCGAUUUUGUACUUCUGAAAAUACAUACUAAAAUUAAAUGCAUCGUCGUGAAACUUAUUUAUAGAAAACUCGACAGCAGGGUACACGGCCAUAAGGGGCGCACUGACAAUGCGAUUUUUCUUCAGAGCCAUUUAAGUAGUUGAAAAAAUUGCACUCGUUAGCUCGAUGCGUUAUAAUUCUUGAAUGUAAAUUGCAGCAAAUUUUUACAUCGAUAUCAUGUUAUAGGUAGACCUUCUCGUACCGCGGGGUUGAAUUUGCAAAUGUAUAAUAUAAUACAUAUUGUACAUAGGUAUAGUGUACCUGUAGGUGCAACUGGGUAGUAUCGGCGGGGGUUUCAUUGAUCGCAUGCCAGAGUCCGCGAACUGAGAAUAGGGGGGAAGCAACCGCCGUCUGCGUUUGAGUUGGGUACGCUGUUGAAAUGUUUGGCAAUCACUGGCACAAAGUGGAUCUCCAGCCUCUUUGGUACAUCGGUCCGAUGUACCGUUCGUAUUUAAUUUGAAAGAAAAAUUUUAAAAUAUAAUAUCAAGUGCCAAAGACUGCAGAAGGGCAGUUGAGACGCGGGUCAAGAGUAAAAAUUAUUUAAACAAUAUUUACGGACGUUUUAAAAUUCAACGAAGUUAAAAUUCUUCGAGGAGGAUUAUUUGUGCUCAAAAAUAAUAAAAAAUGUCUGCGUAAUUAAUAAGAUAACUAAAUUUGCAUCGGACAUAUCUAUGCCUCUAAUAGAAAUAUGUUCGUACCAGUUGCAACGAUCAUCGAAAUCAAACGAUUCUUGAUUUUGAAAGAUUAUGCUAGAAUUAAAAUUACCGAUGGAUACAACAGUCGACUCUUGUCUGCAUAGUUUAUUUUUUUUUUUUUUAUCUCAAAUUGAACGCUUGUUUCUGCGACGAGUUCUGAUAAAAUGUACAGGAUAUAGACUUCCGUUAUAAUAUAUCCGAACCAUAUUUCAGUUCAAUUGUCAAUUCGUUAGUUUCGGUAAUGAUUUUGUAGUUUUUACAAAAUUCUCUAAUUUCAAAAAGUGUUCGGCAAUAAAGAGGUAACAAAAAAAAUUACUAGUGAUAAUUAGCAUUAAUAUUUUUUAAAAUAAACUUAAUGAUAUAAAUGUACAGUAUUACGUUAAUUUUGAAAUUUUAAAUUGAAAUCUUCAAUUAUAAAUAGGCAAUUUAAAUUGUUUACAAAUAAAAAUAAUACUGCAAAUCAUACAUGGUCGAUAUACCAAACAUUUAAUUGCAUGUUACGAAAAUAUAAAUAAACUUAUAUCUGGUACGACAGACAUUUUAUUUAAUCAUUUAUU